rnacentral:lncRNA from 1 species
GAUUACAAGUAAAGAGAAGGGGGUAUUUAUAACUAAAGAAUUAGGGUUUAGGGGUAGGGUGGCUCAAUCUUGACCAUCCAUGUGCCUUGUGUGUUGGGAAGAUUGUGGCCCUCCAUGUGUCCCUUAGUUGCCAACCCUUUUUUUUUCUUCUUUUCUUUUCCCUUUUCUUCUUUUUCUUGCAUUUUCUCUUCUUUCUUUAUUUAUCUACAAUUUCCUGAAAUAAAAUAAAUAAGC